rnacentral:rRNA from 1 species
CCUACGGGUGGCAGCAGUGGGGAAUAUUGCACACUGGGGGCAACCCUGAUGCAGCAACGCCGCGUGAAGGAAGACGGUUUUCGGAUUGUAAACUUCUAUCAAUAGGGAAGAAAGAAAUGACGGUACCUAAAUAAGAAGCCCCGUCUAACUCCGUGCCAGCAGCCGCGGUAAUACGUAGGGGGCAGGCUUUAUCCGGAAUUACUGGUUUGAAAGGGAGAGUAGUCGGCAAGGUAAGCGAUAUGUGAAAGCCUUAGGCUUAAACUGCGGAUUGCAUAACGAACUAUCUAGCUAGAGUACAGGAGAGGAAAGCGGAAUUCCUAGUGGAGCGGUGAAAUGCGUAGAUAUUAGGAAGAACACCAGUGGCGAAGGCGGCUUUCUGGACUGAAACUGACGCUGAGGCUCGAAAGCGUGGGGAGCGAACAGGAUUAGAUACUCGAGUAGUC